AUUGGGCGUAAAGAGCUCGUAGGCGGUUUGUCGCGUCUGCCGUGAAAGUCCGGGGCUCAACUCCGGAUCUGCGGUGGGUACGGGCAGACUAGAGUGAUGUAGGGGAGACUGGAAUUCCUGGUGUAGCGGUGAAAUGCGCAGAUAUCAGGAGGAACACCGAUGGCGAAGGCAGGUCUCUGGGCAUUAACUGACGCUGAGGAGCGAAAGCAUGGGGAGCGAACAGGAUUAGAUACCCUGGUAGUCCAUGCCGUAAACGUUGGGCACUAGGUGUGGGGGACAUUCCACGUUUUCCGCGCCGUAGCUAACGCAUUAAGUGCCCCGCCUGGGGAGUACGGCCGCAAGGCUAAAACUCAAAGGAAUUGACGGGGGCCCGCACAAGCGGCGGAGCAUGCGGAUUAAUUCGAUGCAACGCGAAGAACCUUACCAAGGCUUGACAUGGACCGGACCGCCGCAGAAAUGUGGUUUCCCCUUUGGGGCUGGUUUACAGGUGGUGCAUGGUUGUCGUCAGCUCGUGUCGUGAGAUGUUGGGUUAAGUCCCGCAACGAGCGCAACCCUCGUUCUAUGUUGCCAGCACGUGAUGGUGGGGACUCAUAGGAGACUGCCGGGGUCAAC
rnacentral:rRNA from 1 species